AGCAGUAGCGCGGUAAUACAGAGGGUGCGAGCGUUAAUCGGAUUUACUGGGCGUAAAGCGUGCGUAGGCGGCUUCUUAAGUCGGAUGUGAAAUCCCUGAGCUUAACUUAGGAAUUGCAUUCGAUACUGGGAAGCUAGAGUAUGGGAGAGGAUGGUAGAAUUCCAGGUGUAGCGGUGAAAUGCGUAGAGAUCUGGAGGAAUACCGAUGGCGAAGGCAGCCAUCUGGCCUAAUACUGACGCUGAGGUACGAAAGCAUGGGGAGCAAACAGGAUUAGAUACCCCCGUAGUCCCUGUCUCUUAUACC
rnacentral:rRNA from 1 species